GAGUAAUGUCUGGGAAACUGCCUGAUGGAGGGGGAUAACUACUGGAAACGGUAGCUAAUACCGCAUAACGUCGCAAGACCAAAGAGGGGGACCUUCGGGCCUCUUGCCAUCGGAUGUGCCCAGAUGGGAUUAGCUAGUAGGUGGGGUAACGGCUCACCUAGGCGACGAUCCCUAGCUGGUCUGAGAGGAUGACCAGCCACACUGGAACUGAGACACGGUCCAGACUCCUACGGGAGGCAGCAGUGGGGAAUAUUGCACAAUGGGCGCAAGCCUGAUGCAGCCAUGCCGCGUGUAUGAAGAAGGCCUUCGGGUUGUAAAGUACUUUCAGCGGGGAGGAAGGGAGUAAAGUUAAUACCUUUGCUCAUUGACGUUACCCGCAGAAGAAGCACCGGCUAACUCCGUGCCAGCAGCCGCGGUAAUACGGAGGGUGCAAGCGUUAAUCGGAAUUACUGGGCGUAAAGCGCACGCAGGCGGUUUGUUAAGUCAGAUGUGAAAUCCCCGGGCUCAACCUGGGAACUGCAU
rnacentral:rRNA from 1 species